rnacentral:rRNA from 1 species
UACGUAGGGUGCGAGCGUUAAUCGGAAUUACUGGGCGUAAAGCGUGCGCAGGCGGUGAUGUAAGACCGAUGUGAAAUCCCCGGGCUUAACCUGGGAACUGCAUUGGUGACUGCAUUGCUGGAGUAUGGCAGAGGGGGGUGGAAUUCCACGUGUAGCAGUGAAAUGCGUAGAGAUGUGGAGGAACACCGAUGGCGAAGGCAGCCCCCUGGGCCGAAUACUGACGCUCAUGCACGAAAGCGUGGG